rnacentral:lncRNA from 1 species
CACCGCCAUAGCCUCUCGACCGGCUUGCGCUCGGCGGGGAUGUCGAAGGGGUCAUCAUCCCCGGUGCCCCGCCCGUCGGCCUCAAGGGCGUCGUCGCAGCCGUCAUCAUCGGGCGGCACCUCGUCGACCCGCCCCACGUAGUGCCCCGGCGACGCCUCGGGCGACUACACGCCGACGUCCUCGACCGACAUCUUGCCUCGUCCUCUCGAAAUGUUGGGGCAAUUCACCAAGGAUACAAGCGGUCAUGGAAUUGCUCGUGAUUUUGUGUUUUUAUAGCUCUUUUAUAGCCUCAUAAAUUUAGAAGUUUUACGUAAUGAUUUGGUCUUGACGGGAAGAAACUGCUACUACUAGAUUUUAUUCCUUUUCCACAUAUUUUAUCACUAAUGCGUACAUUAUGUAUGUGCUGCAUUAGCUUCUUUUUUUAAGCCACUCUAGUUUACUUAGGCCAAUGCAAAUGAAUGUGCUGUUCUAACCUGUGGAAAAGAAGUAGCUGUCUAACUAAGGCAAAGCAGGGGCUGAUGACUACCAUGCAAUUAUAAUUUGAAAACUAGAAUAAGACUUAAAUAGGGGACAAGACAACGACAUGAUCUGAUGCUCCUUGUCCAAUCAUCACAACACUUAAAUCUUGUGAGUCGUAUAGGUUUUCAAUAUGUUACUGAACUGUCCGAACAGAGACUCCAAAUUUUUUCAUGCAGUGUUGCUAUUCCCGUAUCUGAUUGUUAUGAACAAGUAGUGCCUGUCAGCCUUGCACCAUGCUGCUGAAUCUUCGUGAAUAAGCUUACAAGUCCAGUUUGACAUGAAGACAAAAUGACUGGCAUGUUCAGUGCUUGCAGUAUUCGAUUGUUGCUUCUCGACAGAAACCAUGGACCAAUUCAAAUACAAUAAUUACCUGGAAAACAACUCCCUCGGCUGCCACCUCACACUGACUCGCUUCUGCUGCCCUGUCCACCAUGUCAUAGAUGCAUCCAGAAUUGUUGGCAUGAGACCCUCCACCAGAAGGCGCGACCAUCUAACAUGCAAAUGGAGAAACGGUCAACCACUUUAAACGGUUUAUAAUAACAUCAACUACACAACACAACAGAACCACUAAUGUGUUAACCAAUUUGGGCCAUUGUAACCUAGGCAAAGCUCCUGCUGCUCUCAAUCUCAAACUGCACGCUACUGCGAUACAGUUUAAUGGUUUCAGGUCGAGGCAGUGCGGAUUAAAUAAAACGGCUUGAUCUGGAAAAAAAAAUCAGUCUAACAUGUUUCACUAUUCCUAACACGUACAUUUGCCCAUCUCUCUUAAAAAAGUCAAACCAUUGCGAUUUCGUGAAGAUUUGCCCACCCCUGCAAGCAU